UUUGCUAGGUCUAGUCUAGGUUUACUAAUCUUCAUUAGACUAUCUGGUAAAAAAAACCUUAUUUCAAGUUUGAACGAAAGUGAUGUUUAAGUUAGCGGAUGUGACCUAGGUGAUCGAGUUGCUAAAACUCAGAAUAACAGUUUUGGAAGUGCAUUCACCGGAUUUAUUGAAUCUAGGAAAGGAACAGAUAAAUGUCUAAAGAAUUCAUCGCACGAAAACAACGAUAGUGGUGCAGGAUACGACGGGGCGGAAACCAGUUAUCCGCCACUCGGAAGUCCACAACACAAUCUAAGAGCAUAAUACCAACCAAGUUGCGAGAAGAAAUCCCUCCAGGAAAUCUCUGGUUUUUAAUCUGUCAAAAACUUGCAACAAA